GUCUGGUGUAGACCUGUAACUGC
rnacentral:piRNA from 1 species